AUUGCUGGGUAGCUAUGUAGGGAAGGGAUAAACGCUGAAAGCAUCUAAGUGUGAAGCCCACCUCAAGAUGAGAUUUCCCAUUUCUUUAAGAAAGUAAGAUCCCUGAGAGAUGAUCAGGUAGAUAGGUUAGGAGUGGAAGUACAGUGAUGUAUGGAGCGGACUGAUACUAAUCGAUCGAGGACUUAACCAAU
rnacentral:rRNA from 1 species